GGAUGCGUUGGGGAGUGGUCAAACCCAGGAGAUUGUAAAUCUCCCGCCGCUGGCUUCGCAGGUUCGAAUCCUGCAGCAUCCACCA
rnacentral:tRNA from 1 species